rnacentral:sRNA from 1 species
GCCAGGCAUGGUGGCAUGCACCUGUAGUCCCAGCUACUCAGGAGGCUGAGGCAGGAGGAUGGCUUGAGCUCAGGAAUUCAAGACCAGCCUGGGCAACACAGCAAGACCAUGGCUCAA